CGCAACCGUCGUUUGCUAGAAUUAUUUGUCCCUUUCGUCACUGGAAACUCUUUUUCUUCAUCCAAGCAAUCUGGUGUGAACUCCUCAUCAUCUUCAUCUACUUCAUCAUCCUCAUUGUCAUCUUCUCUAUAUGAAACUCUCUUUCUCUUUCUAGAGUUCACAGUUCCUUUUUCUUUUCUGCUUGGUGCUUUUGACCGAGCAACCCUUUUCACCUUCCUCCUCUUCAAUUCCUCCUCCUCCUCUUCAUAUUCACCUAAACUCUCUUCUGAAUCAUCUCCAACAAAGGAAGAAUAUCCAUCUUCUGACUCAUCAAACUCCUCAUCGUCAUCAACUGUGUAAUCCUCAUCUGACUGAUCUGAAGCUCUAUAUGUGGAUCCAGCCUUUCUCCUAUCACUAGUCUUGCGUCCACCGUUGCCUCCCCUCGCCAUCCUUUCUCACAACCAGGGGGAGCACAAACCGACAACUUGAAUCAGAUCUAACUAUGUGAUGAUAAUCUCAUGUACCACUAGAUCCACCGCUUAAUUAGACAAGGAAGUGAAUGCACCUG
rnacentral:misc_RNA from 1 species